UACGGGGGGGGCAAGCGUUGUUCGGAAUUACUGGGCGUAAAGGGCUCGUAGGCGGCCAACUAAGUCGGAUGUGAAAUCCCCAAGCUUAACUUGGGAACUGCAUCCGAUACUGGAUGGCUUGAAUCCGGGAGAGGGAUGCAGAAUUCCAGGUGUAGCGGUGAAAUGCGUAGAUAUCUGGAGGAACACCGGUGGCGAAGGCGGGUCUCUGGGCCGAUACUGACGCGAGGAGCGAAAGCGUGGGGAGCGAACAGG
rnacentral:rRNA from 1 species